rnacentral:rRNA from 1 species
GACGAACGCUGGCGGCGUGCUUAACACAUGCAAGUCGAACGGAAAGGCCCUGCUUUUGUGGGGUGCUCGAGUGGCGAACGGGUGAGUAGCACGUGAGUAACCUGCCCUUGACUUUGGGAUAACUUCAGGAAACUGGGGCUAAUACCGGAUAGGAGCUCCUGCUGCAUGGUGGGGGUUGGAAAGUUUCGGUGGUUGGGGAUGGACUCGCGGCUUAUCAGCUUGUUGGUGGGGUAGUGGCUUACCAAGGCAUUGACGGGUAGCCGGCCUGAGAGGGUGACCGGCCACAUUGGGACUGAGAUACGACCCAGACUCCUACGGGAGGCAACGGUGGGGAGUAUUGCACAAUGAGCGGAAGCCUAAUACAGCAAAGCCACGUGCGGGAUGACGGCAUUCAGGUUGUAAACCGCUUUCGCCUGUGACGAAGCGUGAAUGACGGUAAUGGGUAAAGAAGCACCGGCUAACUACGUG